rnacentral:rRNA from 1 species
GGAUGAAUAUUGGACAAUGGAGGCAACUCUGAUCCAGCCACGCCGCGUGCAGGAAGACGGCCCUAUGGGUUGUAAACUGCUUUUAUACAGGAAGAAACGUCAGUACGUGUACUGACCUGACGGUACUGUAAGAAUAAGGAUCGGCUAACUCCGUGCCAGCAGCCGCGGUAAUACGGAGGAUCCAAGCGUUAUCCGGAAUUAUUGGGUUUAAAGGGUCCGCAGGCGGUCUGAUAAGUCAGAGGUGAAAUACUAUCGCUCAACGAUAGAACUGCCUUUGAUACUGUUAGACUUGAGUUAUUGUGAAGUAGUUAGAAUGUGUAGUGUAGCGGUGAAAUGCAUAGAUAUUACAC